rnacentral:rRNA from 1 species
AACGAACGCUGGCGGCAGGCCUAAUACAUGCAAGUCGAACGCACCGCAAGGUGAGUGGCAGACGGGUGAGUAACGCGUGGGAACCUUCCUAGUAGUACGGAAUAACUUCGGGAAACCAAAGCUAAUACCGUAUACGCCCUUCGGGGGAAAGAUUUAUCGCUAUUAGAUGGGCCCGCGUAGGAUUAGCUAGUUGGCGAGGUAAUGGCUCACCAAGGCUACGAUCCUUAGCUGGUCUGAGAGGAUGAUCAGCCACACUGGGACUGAGACACGGCCCAGACUCCUACGGGAGGCAGCAGUAGGGAAUAUUGGACAAUGGGCGAAAGCCUGUUCCAGCCAUGCCGCGUGAGUGAAGAAGGCCUUAGGGUUGUAAAGCUCUUUUGGCGGGGAAGAUAAUGACGGUACCCGCAGAAUAAGCCCCGGCUAACUUCGUGCCAGCCGCCGCGGUAA